UCUGAUUAGCUAGUUGGUAGGGUAAAAGCCUACCAAGGCAUCGAUCAGUAACUGGUCUGAGAGGAUGACCAGUCACACUGGGACUGAGACACGGCCCAGACUCCUACGGGAGGCAGCAGUGGGGAAUUUUCCGCAAUGGGCGAAAGCCUGACGGAGCAAUACCGCGUGAGGGAGGAAGGCUCUUGGGUUGUAAACCUCUUUUCUCAGGGAAGAACAAAAUGACGGUACCUGAGGAAUCAGCAUCGGCUAACUCCGUGCCAGCAGCCGCGGUAAUACGGAGGAUGCAAGCGUUAUCCGGAAUGAUUGGGCGUAAAGCGUCCGCAGGUGGCUGCUUCAAGUCUGCUGUCAAAGCUCAGGGCUUAACCCUGAAUCGGCGGUGGAAACUGAACAGCUAGAAUGCGGUAGGGGUAGAGGGAAUUCCCAGUGUAGCGGUGAAAUGCGUAGAGAUUGGGAAGAACACCAGUGGCGAAAGCGCUCUGCUGGACCGCAACUGACACUCAUGGACGAAAGCUAGGGGAGCGAAUGGGAUUAGAUACCCCAGUAGUCCUAGCCGU
rnacentral:rRNA from 1 species